rnacentral:rRNA from 1 species
UGAGGAAUAUUGGUCAAUGGGCGCGAGCCUGAACCAGCCAAGUAGCGUGCAGGAUGACGGCCCUAUGGGUUGUAAACUGCUUUUGUAUGGGGAUAAAGUCAAUCACGUGUGAUUGUUUGCAGGUACCAUACGAAUAAGGACCGGCUAAUUCCGUGCCAGCAGCCGCGGUAAUACGGAAGGUCCGGGCGUUAUCCGGAUUUAUUGGGUUUAAAGGGAGCGUAGGCCGGAGAUUAAGUGUGUUGUGAAAUGUAGACGCUCAACGUCUGACUUGCAGCGCAUACUGGUUUCCUUGAGUACGCACAACGUUGGCGGAAUUCGUCGUGUAGCGGUGAAAUGCUUAGAUAUGACGAAGAACUCCGAUUGCGAAGGCAGCUGACGGGAGCGCAACUGACGCUUAAGCUCGAAGGUGCGGGUAUCGAACAGGAUUAGAUACCCUGGUAGUCCGCACAGUAAACGAUGGAUGCCCGCUGUUGGUACCUGGUAUCAGCGGCUAAGCGAAAGCAUUAAGCAUCCCACCUGGNGAGUACNCCGGCNACGGUG